CUCCUCGCCCACCUAUGCACUGAGUCCUUGGCAUUGCUUUAUGCUGAUCUUCUGCUGAUGAACAUAUAUCUAUAUAUAUAUAUAUAUCUCCAUAUCUAUAUAUAUGCAUACAUAGAUACAAACACAUUUUAAGCUUGUAGAGUUGGACGGGGUUGAAUGGUGAAGUUGGUUUAAUUAUCAUGUUACGUCCGUGGCCAGUGCAAAACUCUUUGAUGUUUCUAACUCAAAGAUCCAUGAUUUAAUCUUACAAGCUUCUUUCAUUGUUUAUCAAUGGCCAGCCUCUCGUUUGUGGUCUUUAUGUUUGUCUCCUCAAAGUUUGAUGGUUAACGAGAGAGGUGAAUAUUGGGAUCACUUCAAUCACAGAAGAAGUCUCGUUUCUGUGCCAGAAACCUGUUAUGGCGUGGCUGGUUUUGGACGACUUAAAUGGACAGGACAGGUGUACUUCAUUGUUGUUGUAAACUAACAAAACGUGACACAUAAAUAAUAGCCUUGCCGCAUCCCUCGGAAAUGGGCUUGCUGUCGGUACCGGGCCCAAUUCUUUAGGGCGUCAGAAUUCCAUCGA